CGGCCGAGUGAUGAAAGCCUUGCCUGAGGCGGCGGCCGGGGCCGUUUUGGCCCCCCAGGGCUGCCCGCCAAUGCCAGGGCCUUGUCAUAGUUACGCUGACGGUCC